rnacentral:rRNA from 1 species
CCUACGGGCGGCAGCAGUGAGGAAUAUUGGUCAAUGGGCGUAAGCCUGAACCAGCCAAGUCGCGUGAGGGAUGAAGGUUCUAUGGAUCGUAAACCUCUUUUAUAAGGGAAUAAAGUGUGGGACGUGUCCUGUUUUGUAUGUACCUUAUGAAUAAGGAUCGGCUAACUCCGUGCAAGCAGCCGCGGUAAUACGGAGGAUCCGAGCGUUAUCGGGAUUUAUUGGGUUUAAAGGGUGCGUAGGCGGCCUUUUAAGUCAGCGGUGAAAGUCUGUGGCUCAACCAUAGAAUUGCCGUUGAAACUGGGAGGCUUGAGUAUGUUUGAGGCAGGCGGAAUGUGUGGUGUAGCGGUGAAAUGCGUAGAUAUCACGCAGAACCCCGAUUGCGAAGGCAGCCUGCCAAGCCAUGACUGACGCUGAUGCACGAAAGCGUGGGGAUCAAACAGGAUUAGAUACCCGAGUAGUC